UGGCUAUGUUCAACCAGUAAAACUGAAUUAGGGAUGGUAUUUGUACCUGUUGGAACGAAGAAGGAGAAGCAUGACAAACAUCUGAAACUGAAUUAGGGAUUUCCAUUUGCUUCUUCCUUUUCGAGACCAGAUCGCAUUGUUCCCGUGACCAGAUAUCUGGCACUUACCUCAGUAAUAAUAUCAGGAACUGAAAAACAAAGGGAGAGAUAUCAGUACUAACUCAAACUGCACAUAAUUCAUAAUUCAGUUAAAUAAAGGUGCAGCACACAAGGUUUUGUUCACUCACAAUCACACAAUUCGCACAGAAUUCAUACAAACAACUGACUGAAUGGCACUCUCACUGAACGAGGCAUUAUCAAACACAAUCAUAACUAAGCACAGAACCAACUCACCUGCAUCUAUCUCUCUGAACCACCAAAGCCUUCCAAAAUCCCACACCAAUUCCACCAUUUUGCCCGAUGCCCCGCAGCAGCCACCGCC
rnacentral:lncRNA from 1 species